CCCCCCUUCUUCCUCCUACAUUCUUCUUCUAUUCUUCCGUUCUUCUCUCCCUACUCGAAUAAACUCUAAUUUUUACACGAAUGUUAGCCGAUUUCUUGCCCAUUUUCCACCGUAGUUGCAUUGUAGAGGGUUGGGGGAGGCAAGGGAGACCUCGAUCUCGUGAUGGGAUAGCUUGGUGGUGGUGGUGAGCAUUUUGGUAGAGGUGGUGGAGGUGGAGGUGGUGGAUGCUCCGGUGAUUGAAGGCCACCGUUCAUUGUUGCUUCGCACGCUUCAAGGUGGACCGAUGGAGGCCCGAGACCCACAUGUUUCACUUCCGCUGAGGAGAGAUGGCAACUACUCUGGAGGACGUGUCACUUUUGUUGGGACUACCCUUGGCGGGUCAUGCCAUAGGACCGUUGGAGGCACCGGCUGCUUGGGAGCAGGAAAUUGCACAACGUUUCCGAGAUGUUUACCCUAAUGCUCCGGCCUUAGUCUCGGAGCCUUACGGACCUAAGUUUGACUGGUUGCUCCAUUUCUAGAUCUAGAAGUUCCCGGGGUAUCCACAAGUCCUCUUGACUGCGACACAGAUCACUCGGAGCCUGGAGGCAUACCUACUGUGGCUUCUUGAUAACCACAAGUAUAGGGGAUCGCAACUGUUUUCGAGGGUAGAGUAUUCAACCCUAAUUUAUUGAUUCGACACAUGGGGAGCCAAAGAAUAUUUGUGAGUAUUAGCAGUUGAGUUGUCAAUUCAACCACACCUGGAAACUUAAUAUUUGCAUCAGAGUGAUCAGUGGCACGGUAAUAUGAUGGUCUGAUAGCAGUAGCAAACAAUAGCAUCAGUAGUAACAAUGACAACAGUGAUUUUGUAGCAGUUGUAACGGCAGCAGCAACAGUAGUAACUUAGCAGAGAUCAAUAUAGGAAAAACUCGUAGGCAUUGGAUCGGUGACAUAUGGUGGA